AAUCCCGCCAGUUCUUCCAUCAGUAUCUGUGUCAUUGUACUGACACAAACAGUGCUUUUAUUCAUUCCAUGUUUUCUUUUCUGUCUGUUUUAGUCACAUGACACACACACGAGUUAGGACUGGAGUACAGAACCAGUGUUUUUGAGGACUAUAAAUGGUCUAAUAAUUUUUUCUGCGACUCUAUGCAUUUUUCUUACCAG